UUGUAGAUUUUUUUCUCAAAUUGUAUUUGAUCACCGAGUGAAUUUAGUGUUCGCUCAAGUCCGUGGGCUGACUGCUUGGAAAUGGCUCUGCCUGUCUUUGGAGAAGUUACGGCAGAGACAGCGGCAGAGCAAUUGCCACAGAUUAUUUCCCAAUCUGCUGCCGGCCUCCUUUGGAAGAGCACCAUCAUUUCAGCCUCCAUUUCCACUUUUUGCUGAGGCUGCUGCUUACAAAGAUACUAAUUGCGAUGGCGGGUUUUAUGUUAAUGGGUUCCACGUAAUGAUCAGCCCGACGACUACAGACCUUCAGAUUGUUGGUUGGCUGCGCUGGGAAUAAAACUAAUGGCAUUUGGUUAUGAAAAUGUCAGAUCUCUACAUGGUGAUCUGAACUGGGGGCUCAAUGAGACCGAAAUCCAAGAGCCUCCACGCGACUGCCGUGGGGCUGGACCCAGGGAUGCCCUUGGACAAGGGAACUCCUUCUCCCCCAGCAGUGCUGUGCCUUGGGGGAGGGCAGCUCCUUGCUGGGAUGAUGCUGGAGAGGAUUGGGGUGCCUGGCUGGGGUCCCCCCUGCUCCGGGGAGAGGGUGUGGGGUGCUGGGAGCGACAGCUGGGGACGGAGCAGGGAUGGAGCUGCGCGAGCCUCCAAAUUCUGACUAACGCCGUAACCGGUUUGGUAGCUCUAAAAUAGGAUUUUAAUCCUGGGAAGCAUCAUUUCACAUUCCAGUGAUCUAAUCAAAAUCCUUUCCUCUAAUCUCUCCAUGGUCCCCCCUUUCUAGAUGAAAGAGGCUGGAGUUCCUGUCUUCACCCUUUCUCCGCUGCCUCCCUGUUCUACCAGUCUGUUCUGUGUCCAGGCAACUGCAAAAAGACAUUUCAAAGGCUCCUGCCGUGCCAUGUAGAUGUUUUCUCUUGUUAGUUUGGACUGCAGGAUCAAGUCCCUCGUUUGCCAUUUUGUGUGGCAGCAAGCCCAAGGAAAUCUUGCUUGACAGCUCUGUUUUCUCAAAGUGCUGCAUUUCUUCGGGCUGGAUUCUGUAAAGAUCCUGCAGGCUACAGAGCUCCUUGGAGCAAGCGAUAAUGUGCUUUGCGUUCCUGCUGAAAUGUACCUGUGUACGAUGGGAGAGGGAGCUUGGAAAACUGGCUGCACCCUGGCAAGGAGAUGGUUGGAAUAAAGUUUUCUUGUGUUAUAAUGUUUUGAGGAAUCAUUCUCAUCUGUUCGUUUGAGGAAGGUUUUUCUAAAGUUAGAUUUGAUCUGUGUAAAUGCUAACUUCUUUCAACAGGCACUAAUAGAGUACUGGAAAAGGAAACACAGUGAAUUUGAAGUUUAAAUCUCAAAUGAUGGCAGCAAUCAGCAAUACAUCCAAAAUAUUUGUAAGUAUGUUGUACAGAUUUCUUUUUAGGAAUUGGAUGAAAAUCACAUUAAAAUCUGUUACUUAUUAAUGUCUUAAGAUCUCACUGAUGCAGCUCUUUAAUGAACAUAUUUACACUUUGGGCCAUCACAGAAAAUUGUCCUUGUUAUUCUUCAUGUCAUCAUCUGGAAUAUUGAAGAAAAUGGAUCUUUAUUCCAAAGGUCCCAAACUGGUUGGGAGCAGUUCCUUAGCACAGCUGCUCCCCUGGGCAUCAGUGUGCAUUCAUGAGGAUAUUUUGGACAAUGAGUCCAGUAUUGAUCACUGGACUUAGGCUUCUCUUUGCCUUAAUGAACCUGGCUGAUUUUCUUGGCCAGGACUGAAAGAUGAGGUGCUGCUUCUCCCAGCACUUGUAACUUGAGUGUCUCUUCUCCAAGGAUCCUUGUGGUUUAUUCCUUCUCAUUUUCAAACUGACUCCCAAAUUUUUAUCAGUUCUCCUAAAAGAGUUCCUCCAGAGCCUUCUCUGUACCCAUGUCUGCUCCUUGUCCGGGCCCUUCCCUCCUCACUUCAUGGCUCUCAUCUUUGCAUCUUCUUCAGCUGAUUCUUGUCCCUGGCUGCCUGUGCCCACUGGAAAGGAACUCCUGAUUCCAAAACCCCAGCCCUCUCCACUGUGGAAAUGCCCUCCUGUUCACCUAAAACUGGAUUUGAGAUAUCCUUUUCUGCUCUGUGCCAUUGCCCAGCGAGAUUCCACAGGGAUGGCAGGGAGCAGAGACAUCCAAACAGAUAAUUUAUGUUCCUGGGAGAUUUAGUCCAAAUUAAGAUCAAAACUCAUAUAUGUCUUCCAAAUCACAGAUUUAUUUUUUUUCCCAAUUAUUGUCAAUGACUCUAAUUCUGCUUGAUUUAUAUCUCUGGUAGUAGCCAGAGGUUUUGCAGCACAUAAAUUGCCUGAGGGUUUGGCCAGUGAUGUGGACACUGUGACAUGUAGAAGCUCAGGAAAGCUCCUGAGCAGAAAAUGGUUGGAAACAGAGAAAAUAGCAGGGAGAAGGAUCCUCCAUGCCUGCACACGAUUACCUGGGUGUCCAGCUGUGGUCACUCAGCUGGAUGGACCCUUGUUUUCUCAACCAACAUGCCAAUUCCCACAUUCUUUGGUAAAUUGGUAGAGUUUUAGCAGAAAUCAUGUUGAUGGCAGCACACAUGAUCCAAGCACAAAAUCCUGUGGUUUCUGUUAUCCUGUGAGCACUGCACAGCCACAGAUACACUCUGGCAGGUGGAAGAGAAGAAAGCAAUCCUCACAGAGGGCAGGGAAAACAGCCACAAUUAAAAGCAAAGUAAAUUUGCGUGGUGUGGUUACUUGCUGGUUAACUCUGAAGACGCUUAUGAGGAUCCAGCAUAACCCACAACAGAUCUUCCUUGAGGAUUUGUGGAUUAACCCACACCAACACAAACAUGGGAUGGCAUUGCAGUGGUGUCUCUGCCAUGUGCAGCUACUAAAGACCCCCAAAAGGGCUCCCACAACAUUUCUCUCAAAUAGCUGCUUUUCUCAACCUGUGUUCCAUCCAGAUGCAUGGUUGUGUUUUGGCCAACAUCUGGAACAGCAGAAAGAAUUAGAGGAGGAAAGGAUCUCUUGGGUUAUGGACUGGAGCUGGACUGAGUAAAUUUCAUACUGAAUUUCUCUCAGGGUCUGGUUCACCCCAGCUUUAAUUUCUCAGCACUGUUCUUGCCUUCUCAUCCUAUAUCCCAUGCACAGGAUGGUACCAGAGCCAGGAUUUUGUUGGAUAGGAGGCACAUCGAGCCCUUCUCUGACCUCAUGCUCCAAGCAGCACUCUUCUCUCUGACUUAGGCUGGUCUUGAUUUGGGAAUUACCUUUUCUGCCCUCUAAAGGGAUCAGCAGACAAGUUAGUAGGUUAUGUUCCCAGGAAAAAUUCCUACUUUUUUUUCACUUGAAAACUUGUCAUGAUUUUUACCCUUUUAUUGGUUUCUCUUAGAGGUUUGGGUUUUGCACAUCUUGCUAUUCCUAUCAUGAGCCCUCACCCACUUCAUGCAGCCACUUCCUCACUUCAAGUUCUUGCUUUUCCCCUCUCCCUCCCUCCUCAGGUACAUUUUGGCUGUGCUUUUGCCUCCACUAACUCUAUCCCAGCCAGGUAUUUCUCCCAAUUCUCUGCUGAAUCUUCAGCUCCAAUAUUCCACAUAUUACUUUGGAAUAAGGAUCUAAAGCCUGCAUUAUUAGUUUAAAUGCCUUUUUGUGUUCUGAACCUCACCUGGGCUUAUUCUGUUUGUCUGAGCCACUCUCCCAGUGGCAGGAGAGCUGGUUUGGUGGCUGUGGCUGGGGACAGGAGUUGUGGCUGGCUGCUGGCACAGGGCUCUUCGUGGCAUGAAAGGAGUCCUUGGAUCCUCCCUCAGUUUCUCCAUUUUUUACAGCAACAGUGGUCACUGGGAGAUCAAAAUCUCGUGGUGGCUGUCAGGCACUCCACCUCGAGGGUUGCAGGGCAGGGAAGCAGCGAGGAGAAGGACGAAAAGUACAGAUAAAGCAGCUCAGAGCUGCUCACUCACCUCCAGUUCCCCUUUCCCUCCCUUCCACAGAAGUGGCUGAGUGCAGAGCUGAGCUGCCUUGGCAAAGGGGAGAGAAGAAAGGUUUUUAUUUCACUUUCCAAACACAAACACUUCACGUGGGAUGAAAGAAGGGAACACCCCUCUGCUCCUUUCCUCCAGCUGGGCUUUCUGGUCCCAUUGUCCCCCCUCGGUGGGUCCCCCACAGGCACCUACAUUGUGAUUUGUGGUGUUUUGGGUGUCUGAGGUGCUUUGUCCUCCAAUAAUGAGGGUGAGGUUUCAUUUGGGGAAGCACAUCUUUUCUUAGAAAUACGAACACUGUGACUGACUUAGCACAACUGUGAUUUUCUGCAAACACAACUGUGUUUGGGGUGGUUGCAUGCGAAUGCUGGGGAAGGAGAAACAGUAAUUCUGAAUUAAUGCAGAAAGGGAGAAAAUAGACACGCUUAGAGGAAGCCCUGAGUUCACUGCAGCUGUCAUACACUGGCAAAACUGAUGCUGUGUCCCACAGGAAACAUUUCAGUGUGGAGAACCUCCUGGUUGAAGGGAGCCUACCUGCGCCUGUUGUGACACACGAGUGAGCCAAAGUGCUCGGGGUAGCACAUCAAUCCAGUCUUUCUUUAGUAACAUGUAUGAAAUAAAUUGGGUUUUUUUCCCCCCUGG